rnacentral:rRNA from 1 species
AGAGUUUGAUCCUGGCUCAGGAUGAACGCCGGCGGUGUGCCUAAUACAUGCAAGUCGUACGCACUGGCCCAACUGAUUGAUGGUGCUUGCACCUGAUUGACGUUGGAUCACCAGUGAGUGGCGGACGGGUGAGUAACACGUAGGUAACCUGCCCCGGAGCGGGGGAUAACAUUUGGAAACAGAUGCUAAUACCGCAUAACAACAAAAGCCACAUGGCUUUUGUUUGAAAGAUGGCUUUGGCUAUCACUCUGGGAUGGACCUGCGGUGCAUUAGCUAGUUGGUAAGGUAACGGCUUACCAAGGCGAUGAUGCAUAGCCGAGUUGAGAGACUGAUCGGCCACAAUGGAACUGAGACACGGUCCAUACUCCUACGGGAGGCAGCAGUAGGGAAUCUUCCACAAUGGGCGCAAGCCUGAUGGAGCAACACCGCGUGAGUGAAGAAGGGUUUCGGCUCGUAAAGCUCUGUUGUUGGAGAAGAACGUGCGUGAGAGUAACUGUUCACGCAGUGACGGUAUCCAACCAGAAAGUCACGGCUAACUACGUGCCAGCAGCCGCGGUAAUACGUAGGUGGCAAGCGUUAUCCGGAUUUAUUGGGCGUAAAGCGAGCGCAGGCGGUUGCUUAGGUCUGAUGUGAAAGCCUUCGGCUUAACCGAAGAAGUGCAUCGGAAACCGGGCGACUUGAGUGCAGAAGAGGACAGUGGAACUCCAUGUGUAGCGGUGGAAUGCGUAGAUAUAUGGAAGAACACCAGUGGCGAAGGCGGCUGUCUGGUCUGCAACUGACGCUGAGGCUCGAAAGCAUGGGUAGCGAACAGGAUUAGAUACCCUGGUAGUCCAUGCCGUAAACGAUGAGUGCUAGGUGUUGGAGGGUUUCCGCCCUUCAGUGCCGGAGCUAACGCAUUAAGCACUCCGCCUGGGGAGUACGACCGCAAGGUUGAAACUCAAAGGAAUUGACGGGGGCCCGCACAAGCGGUGGAGCAUGUGGUUUAAUUCGAAGCUACGCGAAGAACCUUACCAGGUCUUGACAUCUUGCGCUAACCUUAGAGAUAAGGCGUUCCCUUCGGGGACGCAAUGGCAGGUGGUGCAUGGUCGUCGUCAGCUCGUGUCGUGAGAUGUUGGGUUAAGUCCCGCAACGAGCGCAACCCUUGUUACUAGUUGCCAGCAUUAAGUUGGGCACUCUAGUGAGACUGCCGGUGACAAACCGGAGGAAGGUGGGGACGACGUCAGAUCAUCAUGCCCCUUAUGACCUGGGCUACACACGUGCUACAAUGGACGGUACAACGAGUCGCAAGCUCGCGAGAGUAAGCUAAUCUCUUAAAGCCGUUCUCAGUUCGGACUGUAGGCUGCAACUCGCCUACACGAAGUCGGAAUCGCUAGUAAUCGCGGAUCAGCAUGCCGCGGUGAAUACGUUCCCGGGCCUUGCACACACCGCCCGUCA